rnacentral:rRNA from 1 species
UACGGAGGGUGCAAGCGUUAUCCGGAAUUACUGGGUUUAAAGGGUGCGUAGGCGGCGGUUCAAGUCAGGAGUGAAAGUUUGCGGCAUAACCGCAGAAUUGCUUUUGAUACUGGAUUGCUUGAAUUGGGUUGAGGUUAGCGGAAUGUGGCAUGUAGCGGUGAAAUGCAUAGAUAUGCCAUAGAACACCGAUUGCGAAGGCAGCUAACUGGACCUUGAUUGACGCUGAGGCACGAAAGCGUGGGGAGCGAACAGGAUUAGAUACCCUAGUA